rnacentral:rRNA from 1 species
CCUACGGGGGGCUGCAGUGGGGAAUAUUGGACAAUGGGGGCAACCCUGAUCCAGCCAUGCCGCGUGUGUGAAGAAGGCCCUCGGGUUGUAAAGCACUUUCAGUGAGGAAGAACGCCUGGUGGUUAAUACCCAUCAGGAAAGACAUCACUCACAGAAGAAGCACCGGCUAACUCCGUGCCAGCAGCCGCGGUAAUACGGAGGGUGCGAGCGUUAAUCGGAAUUACUGGGCGUAAAGCGCGCGUAGGUGGCUUGAUAAGCCGGUUGUGAAAGCCCCGGGCUCAACCUGGGAACGGCAUCCGGAACUGUCAAGCUAGAGUGCAGGAGAGGAAGGUAGAAUUCCCGGUGUAGCGGUGAAGUGCGUAGAGAUCGGGAGGAAUACCAGUGGCGAAGGCGGCCUUCUGGACUGACACUGACACUGAGGUGCGAAAGCGUGGGUAGCAAACAGGAUUAGAUACCCGGGUAGUC